GACAGAGGGUGCAAACGUUGUUCGGAAUUACUGGGCGUAAAGCGUGUGUAGGCGGUCUCAUAAGUCGGGUGUGAAAGCCCCGGGCUCAACCCGGGAAGUGCACUCGAAACUGCGAGGCUAGAGUACUGGAGAGGUUGGUGGAAUUCUCGGUGUAGAGGUGAAAUUCGUAGAUAUUCGGAAGAACACCAGUGGCGAAGGCGACUCGCUGGACAAGUAUUGACGCUGAGGUGCGAAAGCGUGGGGAGCAAACAGG
rnacentral:rRNA from 1 species